rnacentral:rRNA from 1 species
GACGAACGCUGGCGGCGUGCUUAACACAUGCAAGUCGAACGGUGACGGAGAGCUUGCUCUCCUGAUCAGUGGCGAACGGGUGAGUAACACGUGGGCAACCUGCCCCAGACUUCGGGAUAACGCUUCGAAAGAGGUGCUAAUACCGAAUACGAACGCCGUGGGCAUCCACGGUGUUGGAAAGUUCUUCGGUCUGGGAUGGGCCCGCGGCCUAUCAGCUUGUUGGUGAGGUAAUGGCUCACCAAGGCGACGACGGGUAGCCGGCCUGAGAGGGCGACCGGCCACACUGGGACUGAGACACGGCCCAGACUCCUACGGGAGGCAGCAGUGGGGAAUAUUGCGCAAUGGGCAAAAGCCUGACGCAGCAACGCCGCGUGGGGGACGAAGGCCUUCGGGUUGUAAACCUCUUUCAGCAGGGAAGAAGCGAAAGUGACGGUACCUGCAGAAGAAGCACCGGCUAACUACGUGCCAGCCGCCGCCGUAA